rnacentral:rRNA from 1 species
GAGAUAACUCGUAGCAAAGAUACAAUAACAUCGGGGAUACCCUCGGGAAUCUGACAUUAAUGAAUUGAUAGAUCAUUUUUUUUUCGAACGGUUUAUGAUAAAAAAAAGUUCGUCGUCGUAGGAUGGGAAAGGAUGCCUAUCAGCUUUGUGUUGAGGUAAUGUCCCGGCUCGGCUAUUACAUGUACGAUCUCUGAGGGGAGAAGCGCGGAGAUGAGUACUGUGCCACGGCCACAGCCCAUACGUGGCGCAGCAGACCAGACAAGUAUCCUAUGUGCGCAAGAACGACAAGGUUAAUUUGAGCGUUUCGUUCUAAAGGAAACUUAUGUUAGUCAUUAAAACUCUAUCGAAUAAGGGGGGGGCAAGGUCUGGUGUCAGCCGCCGCGGUAAAACCAGCUCUUCAAGUGGUCAGGAGGAUUAUUGGGCUUAAAGCAUCCGUAGCCUGUUUAGUAAGUUUCCGGUUAAAUCCAUUAGCUCAACUGAUGGUCCGCUGGAAAAACUGCAAAGCUAGGGAGUGGGAGAGGUAGGCGGUACUACAUAGGAAGGGGUAAAAUCCUUUGAUCUAUUGAUGACCACCAGUGGCGAAGGCGGUCUACCAGAACACGUUCGACGGUGAGGGAUGAAAGCCGGGGGAGCAAACCGGAUUAGAUACCCGGGUAGUCCCAGCUGU